AACGACCGAAACAAUAAAAAUACUUUUACUGGCCUGAAAGACAACCUGCACAUACCCAAAAAUACAUCAUGUGUUGGCAAGUCUGUAAGCACGAUCUUUGUUUACACCAGUUUUAGCAUCACCUGUAUAUGUUAUAUGUUACUCUCAAGGAGAAAUAAGGUAGCUGAAAACAAAGAGAGAUGAACUUAGUAGACAAAUGUAAGAAUAACAUAACCAUAAAUUGGAAGAAUAAGAAUGUGGUCAUAGUACAAUUGGUAGUGUGUGUAUUAGCGCUGUGAAAAAACUUUUGCAAUUGCAAGCUUCUUGAAUAUAUGCAUCAGACUAAAAAAAAAUCAUAGAUGACAAUAGUACAUACUAAGCAAGAUGCCUGACCUGCUUCGAUUUUAAUCAGACAACUCGUUGAUGGACAUUAGAAAAGAAUCCGCACCAAGAACAGAAUCUGCACAGAGGACAGGAAAAGCAAUAGUAGAAGUAUAGACCAAAGCUUCUCUUCUAAAAAAAAAGUAGUAAUUGUAUGGUCAAUUGGUCAUGAACCGUGGCAGUACUGAUCACUCAAUCCAAAUCUCCAAUUGGCAAUGGUUUAAGAUCAAGCACAAAUUACAUAAAUAAUCAGACUUUGAGACUCAAUAAAGUUACAGUGACCAAGGAUUAAGGAACUGAAAUGAAUGAUGAAUUUGGUCCGAUGCAUAUAUUAUUGCAAAGGAUAGAGGACUAUAGUGCUGAUAACCUGCUGAUAUAUUGAGUCGGGGAAAUACUUAUAUGAUAACACACACUUGUGACUCAUAAUUCCAACUUCGAUUCGUCUCUGAAAAAACUCAAUGAAGGCGCAAGAAAACUAAUUUACAGUCAAGUGCAGGAUACAGUAAAGAAGCAUCAGAGUAGAGGAAGUCGGGUAGGAGGGAUCUGGAAGAAACUGGUAUGGAAAGGGGAUUGGAACAGGUUGCAACCAACGACAAUGACUGCAGAUGUGGCUACGACGCGCGGCACCAACAACCGAUGCGUUUCAACAACAGAGACUUCAGAUUCAUCCCAUCAAUCUCAUUGGCUUUCCUGGUAUAUGCUCAAUUGGUGCCUCACCAUUGACCCUCUUUGGAUUGUUGUCCUUGUCUCUCUUAUGUUCCCCAAGGAAGAUCUGCAUCCAAGUUGCGCCUAAACAAAAUCCACUUGUUAAUCUCCCUCCCCGAUCUGCGGAGAGCUCGGGUGACCGAUAGUGGGAUCCUCACGGCCUACUCCUCCUAGCCGCUUUCUUGAACUCCUGAGACGAGACCGACCGGGGACCUGUAGUAGAAGAAUGGCAUUCAGUGGAGAAGGUGAAGGGGGAGACAGGAAUCAAUUGUGGGAGAGUAAUUAGCGUCAAGAAUAUGGAGAGUUUUCGUGGAGAAAGACUGGAGGCGAUCCGACCCGUAGAGCUGUUGGACGCGAG
rnacentral:lncRNA from 1 species